rnacentral:lncRNA from 1 species
CAUUUUUUUUUGUUUUAUCUCUAGCUUUGUGUGCAUUAAGGUGUAUGCACAUUUCUGAAUAUUUCACUCUGCUCUCUGAAGUAUUUCUGAAUACUUCCCUUUGGAUGAUAGACGAAUGUUUUUAUGUUUAGCACAUAAUCUGCUGUCAAUUUCCCCUAAUUUAGAUCCUACUGAGAAAAUAGAAUGGAAUGACACUUUACUGUCCAUUUGCAAUGGAAUCCAACAAGGGCCUGGCAUGAUGAUGCCAUGUGGAGAAGACCUGUGAUUUCACUGGCUUAGGGAAGGAACUUCUUCACUGCUUAUAGUCCUACUUGCUCAGAGCAUUGAGAGAUUAAGUCAAGUUAACACCCUGAAAAUUAUAGACAGCAACACUGAUGAUUUAUCACUAUUGAUAAUUACACGUGGAAUCUCUGUUCUAUAUAAUCUAUAAUCCAUAAUCAUGGAAUCCGCGUAUUGCACAUUUAUAUACGUAAUAAUAAGUACCUAGGCAUAGAAGCAGAAAAUAUCAGGUCGAAGGGACUUUAGGAAGUAGAAUAUAGAAUGUUAGAGCUGGAAGGAACCCUGAAACACAAAACAUAAGACUGGAAGUGACCUUAAAAUAAAGAAAUAAGAACCUAGAAUGUUGGCGCUCCCAUCUAAGAAUCUCUCAGAGUGGUAACCUGCUUUCCCCAGAGCUCUCCUGGGCAAAGGCCUCCAGACAAAGACGGGAGAGGAAACAGAUGAGUGCUGGAAUUAUUUCACGCUCAGGAAAAUUGAUGGCUACCAGCUGCCAGCCCACCACAGAAGCCUUUCCAAUGGUCCAGGUGAGAAGAGAUAAAGGAGGUAACUACAUGAAUGAAGAAGAUAAGACAGAAAUGAGAAAUGCUGAGACCAAAGGAUAAGAUUUAGUAAAUGAUUGGUUAUAUGGAAGGAGCGAGAAUUUUCCGUAAUUAUAAAGUAGUAUAGGAAUGUGAAUUAUUGUUAUCUUUAUUGUUUUCAUUGUUAUUAUUCCUAUUUUUAAUUGUUUCUGUUGUUUUACCUGUUAUUGCUAUUUUGUUUCUUGAGGUGGCCAUGACCAAAGACUUUGUCGACAAGUGUCUGGCUUACUAGGGAGGACCCUUUGCAUAGUUAGCAGGGCUGGUUCUCUGAAAUCAAAUCCUGCCUGGACAAUACUAGAAGCCUUACC